UGAGGGAAUCUUCCGCCAUGGACGAAAGUAUGACGGAGCAACGCCGCGUGAGUGAUGAAGGCUUUCGGGUCGUAAAACUCUGUUAGGGAAGAACAAGUACGAGAGAGUAACUGCUCGUACCUUGACGGUACCUAACCAGAAAGCCACGGCUAACUACGUG
rnacentral:rRNA from 1 species